rnacentral:rRNA from 1 species
GAUGAACGCUGGCGGCGUGCCUAAUACAUGCAAGUCGAGCGAACAGACGAGGAGCUUGCUCCUCUGACGUUAGCGGCGGACGGGGGAGUAACACGUGGAUAACCUCCCUAUAAGACUGGGAUAACUUCGGGAAACCGGAGCUAAUACCGGAUAAUAUAUUGAACCGCAUGGUUCAAUAGUGAAAGACGGUUUUGCUGUCACUUAUAGAUGGAUCCGCGCCGCAUUAGCUAGUUGGUAAGGUAACGGCUUACCAAGGCAACGAUGCGUAGCCGACCUGAGAGGGUGAUCGGCCACACUGGAACUGAGACACGGUCCAGACUCCUACGGGAGGCAGCAGUAGGGAAUCUUCCGCAAUGGGCGAAAGCCUGACGGAGCAACGCCGCGUGAGUGAUGAAGGUCUUCGGAUCGUAAAACUCUGUUAUUAGGGAAGAACAAAUGUGUAAGUAACUAUGCACGUCUUGACGGUACCUAAUCAGAAAGCCACGGCUAACUACGUG